AGAUUUGGGGAAUAUUCGAAUGUCCCAAAAUUAAUGUAAAAGUGCAAAAGAAAAAUCUUUGGAAUCGUUUUAUAAUUGCAAAAAGCUCAAUAUUCCGCAGUUUCACACCCACGCGCAGGCUGAUGGGGCCGGUCUGGAUCGACUGAAUUCGUCCGCCCAACCGCGUUUGGCCUCCUCUUUUUAUACAUCUCUGCAAAUUCUCUCUCUCUCACCCCAAAGGAGAAGCUUCCCAGCUCCCAUCCUUGAACGUUCCUCCGAACCUCUGCGAAGCCGAGCCGAAACUGCGAAGAGAUGAAGAUGGAGUAUACAAGCCUCGAACUGCAGGUGAUCUCCUGCGAGGACCUCAGGGCCUUCAACUUCUUCCAGAAGCUCUCGGUCUUCGUGACGGUGUCCAUCGUCGCCGGCGACGACCCGAAGAAGCAGCUCCACCCGGCCCUCCAGCGGUGCCACAGGACGCCGACCAGCAAGGGCGGCCAUCGCAACCCGGAGUGGAACCACGAGGUGGGUUUCGACCUGUCGGCCGUCUCGCCUCGGGACUAUCCGGGCCUUUCUCUCAGGUUCGAUGUGCGGCUUCCCAGCGUCGUUGGCAGCCGCUCGAUCGGGGAAGUCCGCCUCUCGCUGCAGGAGUUGGUCGACGAGUUCCACGGGGCCGUCCAGUUCCGACGCUACCAGGUGAAGAACGAUGGAAAAGUCAUCGGGGUCUUGAAGUUUAGGUACAAGUUGUGUGGGAAGAGCGACGAGGCCGGCAACGAAGUGGCUCGGGUCCAGCCUUCGUCUAAAGCUCCGGUUCCCGGUCAUAAUGCUACAAACUUCAGUUAUCUGGAGUGGCCGUGCAUGCCGCCCCAGACGCUGAUCCAAGCGAUAUUGAACUAUCAAACGUAUUCUUCAUCGUCGUUGGUACAAACAACCGACGAGAAGAACGUGAAAAAAGCUUCGAUGGGCUACGGCUAUCGGCAUUCGUGGUACUCCAUGGUGGGACCACUGGAGAGGGCAUGCUGAUCGGAUGGCGUCACUACUGAUUUAUCGGCGAAUCCCGCAGCCGUCAAACUUCCCCCUUUUCUGCCGCUGCAAAUUACAGUUCAUGCUCCGCUUACCUUAGCUUAGAGCUUGGAUUAGUAAGCAUCGGCGUUGUUAUGUGACGUUGCGUGAGUCUAGACUCUCUAGAGCAGGGUGAUAUAGGUAAAUAAAUGUAUCUGGCUCUGGGUACUUUCAUCUGUUCUCGAUGUGACCAUGGUCUCUCAACGAAGAACAGCAUCUCGGUUUGCGUUCCACUUUCCUGUAUAUAUUGGUCAUAAUAUAGUACGGAAGAUGUUCUUAAAGAUUCAGCCUUUGUCAUGAACUUUUCGAGCAUUCGGUAAAUCCUGCACGUUCCCUUUGUCCUAAGGCACAUCAGUGGUUGUGCAAGCGCCCGAGCCAUGGCUCCAUUCCCUGUAUAUCUAUAAUUCUUUCGUCAAGCAAUUUGAGCAAGCAUUCAGUCUUUCUUUUACUAGUCCAACCUUAGUCAUCUGGUCAAAGGUGGAACCUUCCUCUCGGAAGAGUCGAGACCGUGGUGGGGUUGGGUGUGGCUUCAGCUUAUAUCCUCCCUCGGCACUGCACGCGGGCCUCAUGAUUGAAGCAGAGUCGAUCUUUCUGAUAUCUUAAAAUAAACAGCAGGUUUCGGGGUAGCUUCCUUUUGGAAAUACGUGCCUUGAGCAAGUUCUUUCCUCAUUGGUCAAGCUGAUUGAUUAUGCUGAUGCCUGCCAAGAUGGCAAGUUUAAUAUUGAAAAUCGAGAAUCAAAUGGAAGAUUUCGCAGCGAUCUGCUGGGAUCCCACGUGGCCGACAACUCCAUUGUCGCAAUGGCGGCGCCCAGGCUCGCCGCAUGGAUGCGUUGUCGCAAGGGCAGGGGGAUAGUGGCGGCUAUUGAUGAGCGCUUCGACGACGAUGACGACAACCAAUGAUGGUGGCGGCGGAGCUGCAGGGGUGGAAGGGCCUGGCGGUGAAAACUAAGAAGGGGGUAAGAAGGGAGAGGGAAGGAAAAUGGUUGGUAAUGGUUGUUAUUGUUCGCAAAAUGAGAGGGCAUUUGGGUAAACUGCCUUUUCUUAAUGCUUUUCUCUAUUAAGUUGUUUUUGGCAACUUUAUAUUCCUUCCUUUCUUUCCUAUAUUGAAUGUUUUAGCAUUAAAAUUUCCAUGUCAGCAUUCCACAAUAGAUAAUUAACAUAACCAGCGGAAAAAUGUAAAAGGCUUGAUAGCACAGAUGGAAAGUUUAACAGCUCAGUUGCACGAUUGAUAUGAAGUUUUAGGAUCCAAGAUGGAGUCAACUCACCUUCAAAAAGAAGGCUUCACUUUUUCCUGCAUCCAUGGCACCGCACACAUUGAGAUCACCCACUUUGAAUUUUUAGUUAGAGUUUGUACUUGAAAGAUACCAAUAAAUAUUCAUUACCCAUCAAAGUCUUACGGCACAGAGGAAGACACAACCCAAUCAAAAGUCGGACUAAAUGAUAGUAAACAAAUUCCAAGGUCUUCAUUACACACAAUAUCAAACAUGUACGGUGGCGAUCAUAGAAAAAUCAUGACUUGAUCAUACAAAUAUUUUCAUGACACACGGUUAAAGAACAUAACAAAAGGCUUGAUUUUCAUAGCCAACAAUAUUCAACCAAAGUUGAGGAGAUUAAAAGCAUGUCUUACACCUCUUGGUCUAACCUCUCAUUAGGUGUUUAGAUUUCUUGAAUAGAUUUUCUCAACUCCCAAGACUUUGAUUUGGUCUUAAACUACGUGUGUUUGACUUGAUUGAUUGACCAUUUCCAUCAAAUCUUAUUUUGGUUAGGACAAAUUUGGUGGGAAGUCCAUUCCACCUAUAGAAUGUUCAUAAUGGGAUUUCAUCAACUAUAAAUUUGAUCUUAUUUCUUAUUUCAGUUCAUCAUCUUACAAUAGAAACAUAAUUUUGAAAAUAUGAGUUAAUCAAGCACAAUAAGUAAAACAUGACCUAAUAGUUAAUACUUCAAUUUACAUUGUGCUCAUUAAUGUACCAUUUUGUUGUCCCUUUUACACAUGUGUCCAACCUUUUACAUCUUACCACACUUUGACUAUUGCCCUACAAAAGCAAAUUUAAUUCUCCCCACCUAAUCCAUUUGUCUCUAUGCAAAACCCAUAGGCACUACGUCUUCGACCCCAGUAGCCGUUGGCGAUAGCGAGCGUCGCACGAAUGAUGAACCCCUACCCAUGUCUUUUGAAUAUGAGGGAUUCAUUCGCAAAGAGUACAUGGAUCAAAAUGAAAGGAGGCAUUUGUUUCAUUUAUCUUACACUCCACAUGUGACCAUAGUUAGCCAAUUUGAGCCUUUAACUGUAAAGAAUUUUUGCAAAAAACAAAACCUGUCAAGAGCCAUCCCACAAUGAGACAAAUAUGAAGGUUUUAGUUGACAUUAUUUGGUGGGGUGGAGAAGAUGAGAAAGACUUAUUUGCUUUCACUUGCACCGGUCUUUUUGUGGUAACUUUAGGAUAAUUUUUAUGGAAGCCGAAGCAUCUCGAAAUGAAAAAGAGCAUUCUUUUCUUUACCCAAAUAGUCAUUCCCUUUGCUUUGCCAAAUUGAGCUUGAGCAUUCAUUACUAAAGCUUGGUGAUUAUCUUCCCACGUUGGGGGCAAAGUGUAUGAUUUAGUAAGGGAAUUAGUGCUUAUAUGACAACUUUAAAAAAAUAAAUUGGAGAGCAUCUCGAUAGUUGUAAAAGCUAAAAGAAAAGGUUUAAAAGAGCAAAAGUGAAAUGAAAACUAAGGGGCAUGAACAAGCGAUAUACCUGGUAAAAGCAAAGCUAAUGCUCAUCAAAAAAAGAAAAGUCAUAACAAGAAUAAAACUCUCAUGUGAAAGAAAAAUUGUCAAUAACAAAGUGCUUGCAUGAAGGGAAAAUCAUUGCUAAUACAAAUCAUUAAAGAUAAGAGAAAAGCUCUAAUGAUUGAAAUGAUUAUCCAUAGGAAUUUCCAAACAAGUUGGAUUUUAAAUCGAGUGCUUUCGAAAAGAUUGGAUGAUAUGAUGGUGAUGUUAUGAUAAUCAUCAAACUUUUAAAUCCAAUUUGAGAAAAAAAAAAUUCUAAGCCUUCUAAGUCUUUCACUAAACUAGCAUCACAACUUUUUUUUGAAAUUUCUUAUGAUUGGGAUGAUUCAAAUAAAAAUAUGGACUUCCCAAAGAAGCUACUGCUAAAAAAGUGGGGUUAUCUUAUCAUAAGGUUUCUUGAUUUGUAAACUCACUGAAGAUGAUCAUUGUUGAUUAUUUCAUUUCUUAGCCAAUAAUGCUUAUCCAUUGUUGAAACCAUGACCAAGUUUGCAUUAUGGUCCUUUUAAAAGACCUCAUGGAUUGAUCAAUGUGUAUUUUUUGCAACUGAUUCUUAAGGCCUACAACAUUGGUGAUGUGAGGUCCAUUGAGUGAUCAAAUUUACUUCCCCCAUUAAUGGGAUGGGAUUAAGCCGUCUUUCUUGAGAGUAUGUGAGAAGUCCUUUUCGACUAAGGAGUUCUCAUUCCGUCUUUCUUGAGAGUAUGUGAGAAGUCCUUUUCGACUAAGGAGUUCUCAUUUGACAUACUUAAUGAGCCAUUUUUAUUAGUCGAGCAUUUUGACAAUAAUUUUUCUCCUCAGGGAAUUUGAUGAUCAAUGACAUUUUCCAAGCCUGACGCCAAUUUGGUGAUAUUCCAAACAAUUCAAACUUGCUUGAUUUGCUCAUGCGAUCAAUGCUUUAUCAUUAAUGAUACGCUUUUGAAAUUGUCUUUCAUGGCAUUUAUUCAAAUGACAUUGAUUUUGCCUAGUACGCUUUUGCUACUGGAGCACUUGUUAUAACAUAUUUUGUUAGAUACGUAGUGGUCAUUUCGGAAGCUUCUUGGAUAUAUCAGUACGGUGAGCUUUAACUGUUUGGAACCGUUUAUAUAUAUAUCAAACUUUCCUUGUGGAGUUGAUUUCAACGCACAGUGGGCUUCAACAGCAAGUGAUGUCCUCUUUUUGCUACAUGUAUAGGUGACAUCUCGAAAUACACUUUAAAUGAUGAUCGGCAGGUACCAUGAGUUUUGGUAGCCCAACACCAUUUUUUUAACAUACGGAAAGCUCUUGGCAGUUUGGAGUGGCAUUUUGAAUUAAUUUUCCGAGUGGAGUGGAAUCUUCAUGAACCCCCUAAGUGGAGUGGACUCUUCAAAUUCCUCCCGAAUGGAGUGGAUUCCUUAUUAACCCUCAUAGGGAGCAGUUCAUUUGGUCAAAACCCAUUGUUACAUAGUGAGUCAUUGCCUAUUCAAUCAAAACCCAUUAUUACAUCGUGAGACUUUCUCUUCAGUUGAAACUUAUUGUUACAUGGUGGUAUCUUUCUUAUUUAGUCAAAAUCCAUCGUUACAUGGUGGACAUUUCCUCUCCCAAUACCAUUUCUACAUGUUAAGACCCUUUUCGUAUAAAAGGAUUCUCCUAUUAGGUGAGUAUCCUCAAUAAAAAAAAAAGAAAAAAAAAAGAGAGAAAAGAAUCCAAGAGGAGGAGAGGAAAGCAAUUAUAAGUAUUUUAAAUAGCCUCAAGAUCCGAGGUAAGUAACUUUAGAUAUGUUUUUAUUUUCACGUUAUGCAUCAUCAUAUAUUACAUUUCGAAAAAUGGGUCUCAUAAUCCCAACAAGCAUAUUAUUCAUUGUUCAUAAGCAAAAUUGAGGUAUCAGUUUGUUUUUGAAUGCAACCUUUGUGAACACUUUAAAAAAGGAUAGCUAUUGAUUCCUAAAUUUUGACGAUUCGUUUAAUCAUUCUUUGGAAUGAUUUUUAACCCCUAAACAAAAAUAAUUUUCAUUAAAUUGCAUAAGCACAUAGGUAUUAAAAGCAUUUGCAUUAGUAGCAAUAUAAUUUAUUAAAAUAUUUUUUUAAAAUAUAUUAAUUAUUGAUUUUAUUAAUUAUAAAAAAAAGAGGAGAAGGAAAAAGGAGGAGACUGGGCCGUUAUGCUUUUGCAAUUUAAUGAAAAUUAUUUUUGUGAAGGGCUUAAAACUUAAUCCCUAAUUUUUUUAUAUAAUUAAUGAUUGAUUAAAUAAAUCGCCAAAAUUUAUGUGUUAACACUUCUUCCCCUUGACUCCAUCAAGCUCCCAGGUUGACAUACAUCUUUCUGAGGCACAACUCAAGGACUCUCUCUUGUCCAUUGUUUUCUUUGUCUUUUUGGUCAUGGAGCUCAAUGGUGCCGGUAUUAAGUUGGCCGACUAUGGCAGAGCUUGGCAUUGCAUGUGUUGAGUGCUCAUCGACGAUGACAAACCUCCAUAUUUAGAGGUCUCGAGCAUCUUUCAUGAUUUCUUACCAGGUAUUUUGAAUUGGAUAUGUUUGUUUUCAUUUUCCCACUCUCAAAGUGUGCUGCUUCGCUCCAUAAGUACCGUAUAAGUUAUACUUACAACAUGACGCAUCGACUCACCAUAAAUAGUUGCUCUUCUUUCUUUACUUGUGCGUAGGUUCUUCAUCUUCUUCUUCUUCUUGUUGUCUGCAUUUCGGAUUCACUGGCUUGGGGAAGUCAACAUGAAACCCCAAGAGAGUCCAGUGAUCAAGAUGGGAGAGACCCUACCCUUUUGACUUGUCUUCCCUCUUCACAUUGAUUUCAGGUAUAAUUUAAUAAAUAAAUAAAAAAUACCUGCAUUCCUAUGGUUGGACCAGCGAUAUGUACGUGGAUUCAUUUUUACAGUCGAAUUUUUCUUUAUAUGAAUAAUGUACGAAUAACUAGUUAUUUUUUAUACCAAUGGCAUAUGAGAUAGUUUAGAUGUUGGAUUAUCCAACUUAAAAUAUUUAAGAUCGAGAGAGAUUGCAUGUGUAUAAAAUACAUGUAAUUUAACACUCUUCUCACGUGCAAAUCGUCGAAUUAAGAAUUGAAUUGAGAAUAAUAUGUAUAAUUUGAUUAAUGAAGGUUAAACAGGUGAAAUAACUUGAAAUAUAAUUUGAUUAUGAUACCAUCUCAGAAUAUUCAAUUCAAAAGCUUAUAACAUUGUAGACGAGUGGUGUGAAUAUGCUAAUAUAAGAGAUCCUCCUACGUAUGUCUAAGAUUUGGAGAAUAUUCGGUUGUCCCAAUAUUUAUGUAAAAAUGCAAAAUAAAAAUCUUGGGAAUCGUGGUGUUAUUGCAAAAAGCUCAAUAUUCCGCAGUUUCACAUCUACGCGCAGGCUGCUGGGGCCGUUCUUGAUCAACUGCAUUCGUCCGCCCAACUGCGUUUGGCCUCCUCUUUUUAUAUAUCCCUGCAAAUUUUCUCUCUCCAAAAGGAGAAGCUUCUCGGCUCCCAUCCUUGAACGUCCCUCCGACCCUCUGCGAAGACGAGCCGAAACCGGGAAGAGAUGAAGAUGGAGUAUACAAGCCUUGAACUGCAGGUGAUCUCCUGUGAGGACCUCAGGGCCUUCAACUUCUUCCAGAAGCUCUCGGUCUUCGUGACGGU
rnacentral:lncRNA from 1 species